UACAGAGGCCCCGAGCGUUGUUCGGAUUCACUGGGCGUAAAGGGUGCGUAGGUGGUGAGGUAAGUCGGAUGUGAAAGCUCCAAGCUCAACUUGGAAAUGGCAUUGGAAACUACCUUGCUAGAGGGUUUGAGGGGGGACUGGAAUACUUGGUGUAGCAGUGAAAUGCGUAGAUAUCAAGUGGAACACCAGUGGCGAAGGCGAGUCCCUGGAAAACUCCUGACACUGAGGCACGAAAGCUAGGGGAGCAAACAGG
rnacentral:rRNA from 1 species